AUUGAACGCUGGCGGCAGGCCUAACACAUGCAAGUCGAACGGUAACAGGAAGCAGCUUGCUGCUUUGCUGACGAGUGGCGGACGGGUGAGUAAUGUCUGGGAAACUGCCUGAUGGAGGGGGAUAACUACUGGAAACGGUAGCUAAUACCGCAUAACGUCGCAAGACCAAAGAGGGGGACCUUCGGGCCUCUUGCCAUCGGAUGUGCCCAGAUGGGAUUAGCUUGUUGGUGGGGUAACGGCUCACCAAGGCGACGAUCCCUAGCUGGUCUGAGAGGAUGACCAGCCACACUGGAACUGAGACACGGUCCAGACUCCUACGGGAGGCAGCAGUGGGGAAUAUUGCACAAUGGGCGCAAGCCUGAUGCAGCCAUGCCGCGUGUAUGAAGAAGGCCUUCGGGUUGUAAAGUACUUUCAGCGGGGAGGAAGGGAGUAAAGUUAAUACCUUUACUCAUUGACGUUACCCGCAGAAGAAGCACCGGCUAACUCCGUGCCAGCAGCCGCGGUAAUACGGAGGGGUGCAAGCGUUAAUCGGAAUUACUGGGCGUAAAGCGCACGCAGGCGGUUUGUUAAGUCAGAUGUGAAAUCCCCGGGCUCAACCUGGGAACUGCAUCUGAUACUGGCAAGCUUGAGUCUCGUAGAGGGGGGUAGAAUUCCAGGUGUAGCGGUGAAAUGCGUAGAGAUCUGGAGGAAUACCGGUGGCGAAGGCGGCCCCCUGGACGAAGACUGACGCUCAGGUGCGAAAGCGUGGGGAGCAAACAGGAUUAGAUACCCUGGUAGUCCACGCCGUAAACGAUGUCGACUUGGAGGUUGUGCCCUUGAGGCGUGGCUUCCGGAGCUAACGCGUUAAGUCGACCGCCUGGGGAGUACGGCCGCAAGGUUAAAACUCAAAUGAAUUGACGGGGGCCCGCACAAGCGGUGGAGCAUGUGGUUUAAUUCGAUGCAACGCGAAGAACCUUACCUGGUCUUGACAUCCACGGAAGUUUUCAGAGAUGAGAAUGUGCCUUCGGGAACCGUGAGACAGGUGCUGCAUGGCUGUCGUCAGCUCGUGUUGUGAAAUGUUGGGUUAAGUCCCGCAACGAGCGCAACCCUUAUCCUUUGUUGCCAGCGGUCCGGCCGGGAACUCAAAGGAGACUGCCAGUGAUAAACUGGAGGAAGGUGGGGAUGACGUCAAGUCAUCAUGGCCCUUACGACCAGGGCUACACACGUGCUACAAUGGCGCAUACAAAGAGAAGCGACCUCGCGAGAGCAAGCGGACCUCAUAAAGUGCGUCGUAGUCCGGAUUGGAGUCUGCAACUGACUCCAUGAAGUCGGAAUCGCUAGUAAUCGUGGAUCAGAAUGCCACGGUGAAUACGUUCCCGGGCCU
rnacentral:rRNA from 1 species